GACGAACGCUGGCGGCGUGCCUAAUACAUGCAAGUCGAGCGAACUUGCGGGAGCUUGCUCCCAAAAGUUAGCGGCGGACGGGUGAGUAACACGUGGGCAACCUGCCUAUAAGACUGGGAUUACUUCGGGAAACCGGAGCUAAUACCGGAUAAUUCUUUUCUACACACGUAGAAAAGCUAAAAGACGGUUUACGCUGUUGCUUAUAGAUGGGCCCGCGGGGCAUUAGCUAGGUGGUGAGGUAAUGGGUCACCAAGGCCACGAUGCGUAGCCGACCUGAGAGGGUGAUCGGCCACACUGGGACUGAGACACGGCCCAGACUCCUACGGGAGGCAGCAGUAGGGAAUCUUCCGCAAUGGACGAAAGUCUGACGGAGCAACGCCGCGUGAGUGAUGAAGGUUUUCGGAUCGUAAAACUCUGUUGUUAGGGAAGAACAAGUACGAGAGUAACUGCUCGUACCUUGACGGUACCUAACCAGAAAGCCACGGCUAACUACGUGCCAGCCGCCGCCGUAA
rnacentral:rRNA from 1 species